rnacentral:lncRNA from 1 species
CAGCUGUCCCCGGCCCUGCUGCAGCCACAGGUCACCGUGGUGGCCACUCUGGGUGAGCUGCUGGACACCCUGCGCAGGCGGGAGGAGGAGAUGAUGCUGCUCGAGACCCCAAAGCACCUGCACAGGGGCCUGAAGGAAUUCACCAAGGAGCUGCGGGUCACCCUGCACUGCAUUGAUGACACCUGGAGGCGCCGCAUUAUCACCUCUGAUGAUGAUGAUGGCGGUGUCACCUCAUUGAGCCAGGCCCUGGCUGCCUACGGGAGCACCCCACAAACCACCCAGGGCUGUGUGGCCAUGGCGGCCAGGAAGUGGCAGUGGUCGGUGAAUGAGCUUGUGGACAGCUGGGCCCGGCUGUCCAGGAAGGCCACCGAGCUCCGUGGCGCCUGGAGCAAGGUGGCCACUGAGGCACUCACCACCCGGGCCAGGGAGCUGCAGGCCCAGGCUGCCCGUGAUGGGACAGCUCAGGAACGCAGGGUGGAGCUGGGUCAGGCCCUGGGUGGGGAAGAGGGGGCCGAGGUGUUGGCCAGGACUGAAUCCCCGGUGAGAGAAGAGGCCAUGGUGGCUGCCAGCAAGGCAACAACGGCCACCAAAGUGAGACAGUGGCUGAAGGUGUCCCUGGGUCUGCUGGAGCGCUUGGUGGCCACGUGUGACGAAGCCACCGUGUUCCCCCGGGAGCUGCAAUGCCUACUCAGGGUCACCAAGAUUGCCCAGGAGGGGACAAGUGAGGCGUCCCCCCAUGUCCCCAAGAGCUCGGUGGCCACAUGUGACGAACCCACCACCUUCCGCUCGAGUCUGUGGCGCGUGCUCAGGCAUCCCAAGGCCACCCUGAAGGGGACAAAGAAGAAAUUCCCCGAUGACUUGGUGGCCCAGGUGGCCGAGGCCGAGCGGCUGUGGGACGCCAAUGUCCGCCUGGCCAAGGAUCACCUGCUGGGGACAAUUGAGGACAUCCUCGACUUCUAUAGCAAGGGUGGCCGUGCCAGGCCCAGUGCCCGUGAGGUGGCCAAGCAGUGCCAAAGAGUUAUUGAGGACAUCCCAAAUCUGCUGCAGGAUGAUGAUGUCACUGCCAUGACAUCAUAAUGGCACUGACAUAAUCGGGGACAUCACUGCUGUCACCUGUCCCCUCCUCGUGCAGUAUUAGAUACUCAUGUCCCAAAUCCUGAUGGGAAUUGACGUCACUCAGGGGACAUUUCUGAGAACACAGAGAGGGCAUCCUGAUGCCUGGGGGUAAUUUUAUACCCUUUUAUCACGAUUAAAUUAUAACUUUUUUUAAAAAGUGACUUGUGUUUCUGACACCAGAGAAGGCUCCACGGCUCCCCUCAGACGCCGC